CCAGAUUCCAGGCCUCCUAAAUGACCUGCAUAGUACAAGGAAAGUAAUUAAAAGUAAAGGUUCCGGAGACCUCAAAGCUUGGAGGAGAGUGCUGAUGUCAAGUGAAGAGAGGCAUGUCCAGAGGGCUGAAGAGAAGUCUGCGUUUGAGAAUGAAGGCCAUAUUGUGGAUCUGACAUUCAGAGGCGGGAGGACCAAGAAUAUCCCCCCAAUAGAACCAAUACCACACGCACAAGCUAUUUAAUGACAGAUGUUAAAAAGGGCAAAGAAAGGUACAAAGAACUUUCCCUAUGUUAAGAUGACUCAUAAGACCCGUGGGAAAUGAUACAUCACUCUCAAACCAAAGGAGAGAGAAGAGAAAGAGAUGAAGAAAGGGAGCAGAGAUUAGAGAACUUGCCCAAACUCACACAGUGAGUGGCCCUUGGAGUCUAAGAAUAAACCCAGUCACUGGCACUCCAGAGGCCAUGGUUAGAAACAUUACUCCUACAAAAGGAUGGACUGCAUGGCCAGAUGAGAUACUGAUUUUCUCUCUAAAAGAGUUGAGAGUCUUUGAAGAUAAAGAGGCUACCUGUCUGUAUUCCUAAGAUCUAAAAUAAUGUCUACUAUAUAAUUUCAACAAGUCUAUGAUGACGUGUAUCCAUCAUUAUAUUGUCAUUCAGAGCAGUUUUAUUUCCCUGAGCUCCAACUAUUUACUUCUCCCUUAUGUUCCUAUCAUUUGCAAAGAAUAAAAGAAGGAUGAGUGGAUUAUCCUAAGUGAAAACUCCUCAAAUCAAGUGUAAAUGUAAAUGUCUUCUCAUAAUUCAAUGUUCUUACAAUUCUUCUCAAGCAAUAUCUUAUUUAUUCUCCAUAAAAAUAC
rnacentral:lncRNA from 1 species